UACGUAGGGUGCGAGCGUUGUCCGGAAUUAUUGGGCGUAAAGGGCUCGUAGGCGGUCUGUUGCGUCGGGAGUGAAAACUCAGGGCUUAACCCUUAGCCUGCUUCCGAUACGGGCAGACUAGAGGUAUGCAGGGGAGAACGGAAUUCCUGGUGUAGCGGUGAAAUGCGCAGAUAUCAGGAGGAACACCGGUGGCGAAGGCGGUUCUCUGGGCAUUACCUGACGCUGAGGAGCGAAAGUGUGGGGAGCGAACAGG
rnacentral:rRNA from 1 species